rnacentral:lncRNA from 1 species
GGAACCUCUGUUCUCAUCAGAACACACCAUCAGGGAACAACUGCACUUAGGCUGGCCCUCAAUCCACAGUUAUCUCUUCAAAGUCUUCCUCUGUGCAUUGACAUUUGGUAGCAGAUGCCAAAUUCAGCUUUGGAGCCAUACCUAGAGUGAAUAGCUAAUCACUUCCUGAGUCAUGUUUCAAGCUUUGCAGACCUGAAGUGCAGGAUCUGCAGGCACAGCAGUGACAGCUGCUGCUGCCAGGGGCCCCCAUGGCAGUGCCAGCUGAACACCAGCACCUCCUCCUGCUGCUUUCCUGUCCCCAGGCAGCCACCAAGGACGGGAUUUCUCAUUCCUGGCGCUUCUGUCCAGCUCUCCAUGCUCAUCAUCAUCCUCUGCAGGUGCAGGCUCUCCGAGAACACAGCUCUGCAGUGGGUAUGUUCCUCUAGAAAUCUUAAAACGUGCACUUAUAUUUUUAUAACUUUUGCUGAGAAAGCCAUACCUGUUGGAAUAAUGUUACAUUAUAAGGUUGUGAAGCCUUGGCAAAAUCUCCAGCUCUGAUGAACACAGAGCUCUCUAUUGCAAUAAAAACCUUUGUAUCAGCACCUUAGGCUGCUGUACCACUUCU